CUUGGUCAUUUAGAGGAAGUAAAAGUCGUAACAAGGUCUCCGUAGGUGAACCUGCGGAGGGAUCAAUAUCGAACCUGGCCCCCUGGCCACGUCUACCUUGGAAACCCGUGGAAGCGAACCGUGCUUCGGCGCCUCGGCGUCGAGUUUAUGCUGCAGUUGGUAGUUUGCGUCUGAAUCAAACCGAAGAACAUAAAACUUUCAACAGAGGACCUCUUGGCUCUUGUAUCGAUGAAGAACGCAGCAAAGCGCGAAAUGUAGUGAACAUAGCAGCACAAUUUGUGAAUCAUCGAAUCUUUUGAACGCACAUUGCGGCCUCCGGUAGCUCGGAAGGCAUGCCUGUCUGAACGUCAUUUUAAAACCAUGGACCCAGGAUUGGGUCCGUAUUGGGCGUCGCCCCCCUUUUCCAGAGUGGGCGCGUGGCCUCAAAGACAUUGGUCUCACAUGCGGACGAGCUUCCCUGGGACAGACCGCGUGGAGAGACCUAAGCAUCUGACUUUGAUCUCAGAUCAGGUAGGACUACCGCCUGAACUUAAGCAGAUCAAUAAGCGGAGGA
rnacentral:rRNA from 1 species